AUGGGGAAGGGAAUGUCUGCCAAGAGUUACACUGACACGUGUGUGUGGGGCAGUAGUCUGAUGCAACUCCAUUUUAUGAAAUGUCAGAAUGUAAGACAUUUAUGCAAGAUGUAUUCACACAUUCUUCUAAAAUCCUGCUACAGAGCCGCCCAAAAGUGCAUUUGAAUAGAAUGAGGAAUGAGGAUUUUAAAUCCCCCGAACACAGGCUUCUGGGCAUUUCUCAGGCCUUCAAGUCAUGUGUAUGACCUUUAUUGAAAUUGGUUUUCAUUUUCUCGUUGGAACAGGGCACCGUAGCAGGAGUGGCGUUGAGCCGCCGUAAGAGCCAGAGUUCAGUUUAGCGCUAUGAGUAUUUAAGGUCGAGCUUUGACACCUCGGUUAUUACGACUCCCGGGCACACAGAGCCGCACUAGAAAACGAGGCGCAGAUCUGCCUCUGCCGCCUGUGACACCCUGGUGAGAAACACUACACAUAGAGGUGUGAUGAAAUCCAGGCAUCAACAGCCCCCUGUUAAUAUUGCUCAUUCUUUUUUUCUUUUUUUUUCUUUCUUUUUUACGUUCACGACAUUCUGCCGCUGACCUUUUAAGACCCGCACAAGGUCAGGUGACAGCUUUUCCUCACAUUCAGCUGUGUGGGAAUAAAGCCUUUCUCCUCCACAUGUCCUCCUACGGUAAAAGUAUGUGCAGGGAAUUGGCGAGUAACUACCCCCUUCUUUCCAAGUUGGGAUAAACUACGUAGCUUUGGGGAGUCUCUCAGAAUUUCAUCACACCUCGCUGCACAAGUUUGACCCACCUCGGAAUGGAAAAGUACUGUUUCAUCACCUCCGUGUGAGUGAGUGAUUGUUCCUGCGGGGCCGAGGAGCCCUUUUCAGUGGGAAACCCUCGGGUGAAACGGGGUCUGAAAAGGAAGAAAUAAAAGAGCUUGGUUAGGACACUGUGCCCUUCCAUAUUAAACUGUCUUUCCACUUUUCUACGAUACCCCAAUUUUCAUGAACCUCACUGUUGA
ensembl:lncRNA